rnacentral:rRNA from 1 species
UAGGGAAUCUUCCACAAUGGACGAAAGUCUGAUGGAGCGACGCCGCGUGAGUGAAGAAGGGUUUCGGCUCGUAAAACUCUGUUGUUAAAGAAGAACAUAUCUGAGAGUAACUGUUCAGGUAUUGACGGUAUUUAACCAGAAAGCCACGGCUAACUACGCGCCAG